rnacentral:rRNA from 1 species
CAGCCGCCGCGGGAAUACGAGGGGGGCAAGCGUUGUUCGGAAUUAUUGGGCGUAAAGGGUGCGUAGGCGGUUUGGCAAGUCUUGUGUGAAAUCUUCGGGCUCAACCCGAAGCCUGCACGAGAAACUGCCGGGCUUGAGUAUUGGAGAGGUGAGUGGAAUUUCCGGUGUAGCGGUGAAAUGCGUAGAUAUCGGAAGGAACACCUGUGGCGAAAGCGGCUCACUGGACAAUAACUGACGCUGAUGCACGAAAGCUAGGGGAGCAAACAGGAUUAGAUACCCGCGUAGUCCCUGUCUCUUAUAC